rnacentral:rRNA from 1 species
UACGGAGGGAGCUAGCGUUGUUCGGAAUUACUGGGCGUAAAGCGCGCGUAGGCGGCUUUGUAAGUUAGAGGUGAAAGCCCGGGGCUUAACCCCGGGUCUGCAUUCGAUACGGGCUAGCUAGAGUGUGGUAGGGGAGAUCGGAAUUCCUGGUGUAGCGGUGAAAUGCGCAGAUAUCAGGAGGAACACCAAUGGCGAAGGCAGCACUCUGGGACGUGACUGACGCUGAGACGCGAAAGCGUGGGGAGCAAACAGG